UACGGGGGGGGUAAGCGUUGUUCGGAAUUACUGGGCGUAAAGGGCUCGUAGGCGGCCAACUAAGUCGGACGUGAAAUCCCUCAGCUUAACUGGGGAACUGCGUCCGAUACUGGAUGGCUUGGAUUUGGGAGAGGGAUGCGGAAUUCCAGGUGUAGCGGUGAAAUGCGUAGAUAUCUGGAGGAACACCGGUGGCGAAGGCGGCAUCCUGGACCAAUAUUGACGCUGAGGAGCGAAAGCGUGGGGAGCGAACAGG
rnacentral:rRNA from 1 species